CCAUGCAGUCGACGCGCCCUUCGGGAACAGUGGCGCACGGGUGAGUAACGCGUGGGAACUUGCCUUGAAGUGGGGAAUAACCCCUGGAAACUUGGGCUAAUACCGUAUGCGCCCUGCGGGGGAAAGAUUUAUCGCUUCGAGAGGUGCCCGCGUCGGAUUAGGUAGUUGGUGAGGUAAUGGCUCACCAAGCCUACGAUCCGUAGCUGGU
rnacentral:rRNA from 1 species